CUUGAUGGGUGCUACUACUGUAUUGAUUAACACGACACCCUUGAUGGGUGCUACUAUUGAUUAACACAACACCCGUGAUGGGUGAUCGAGAAAGACCUCACCCUUGAUGGGUGCUUCUAUUGAGAAAUACGACACCCUUGAUGGGAGAUUCUAUUGACAAAGACGAUACUCUUAAUGGAUACUUUUAUUGAGAAAUAUAACACCCUUGAUGGGUGCUACAUUACCAACAAAUUAAUUCAGUAUAGAAUUAUUAAUGUAUAAAGUUGUAAAACCAGUAAGAGAUUAUGUUUUGUAGAGAAGACCAAGAGAGUUAAAGAUAAUUACAUUUUCCAAGGAACCUCUCCGCACGAUUAAUAGUUCAUCAGACACAAUCUUACCAAGCACCAGAUGGGAAAGGAAUAAAAAAAAAUCCCGCCGCUUGGAUGUGCAAAUAAAUUUGAAAUAAUUUUUUUCUUAAUGCCAACGUUUUUGGGUGUCAGUAAUGUACGAUUCCGAAAAUAAUCACUUAUUCGAAAUGAGCACUAGCGCGGCUAUAGGUUCGAUUGAAAACGUCUUUCAAAAAAGAUCUUCAAAGGAAAAAUAAAUCAAUGAGGAGAAAUUAUAGGAGCGUAAAAGUGAAAUCCAAAAAAACCUCUAAAUGUUAAUCAUUUUGUUCGAUAAAAGUAGACGAUGGAUAUCGACCUGCGGGUAUAUUAAAACAGCAAAUGUAUCGUUCGUUAACGACUACGAGUGAGUUCGUGUUGAGUUUGAGCGCGAACAAAGUUAGCGUCAAUCAUUAAAUUUUGCCAAUCAUUUGUUCGAUUUGUGAAUCGGAAGAAAAUAAUACAUGGAUUUACGGGUAUGUAUUGAAACAACAAAUAUAUCGUUCGUUCACGAUUAACGAGUUCGUGUUGAGUUCGAGUGCUAACAAAUUUACCGUCAAUAAUUACAUUUUGUCAAGCAUUUGUCAAUCAUUUUGACCGAUUUGUGUAUCGUAAGAAAAUAAGACGAUGAACCUGCGGGUAUUGAUUAAAACAAAAAAAUGUAUCGUUCGUUCACGAAUUAUGAGUUCGUGCUGAGUUCGAGUGCGAACAAAGUUAGCGUCAAUCAUUAAAUCUUGUCAAGCAAUCUUUUGACCGAUUAGUGUAUAGGAAGAAAAUAAGACGGUGUAUAUCGACCUGCAGAUAUAUUAAAACAACAAGUGUAUCGUUCGUUGAUUACGAGUUCGUGUUUGAGUUCAAGUGCGAACCAAGUUCGUGUUCGAGCUCGAGUGCGAACAAAGUUAAAAGAGUGUAUGAUUGGGCCAACUGCUAAACUACGUACAGCACCUGCUAUCUAGGAAGGAUUUUUUAUGUCGAAAUCAUGAUGGGGCCAUGUGUAGUAAAUCGUUCUGCUUAUCUUCCAAUUUGCACCAUCUGUACAGAGUUUUCAUGUCUACUGCUUGACAUUUAAAGACAAUGAUUGUGAGCUGUAGUGGGUCAAUGUUUGUACUGAAUAUUUUUUUUCGUUUGUAACAAUUCGUGUUAGAUAUUUAGGGUCAUGUGUACGAAUCAAUUUUUUUGAAAUUCUAGUCGCGUCUAUCAUGCAUUUUCUCGUCGUUCCAUAUUGAUUGUCAUUGUGAAAAAAAUCCUAGGGCCAUGUGUACAAACCUGUCAUCACCGUUUUGAAGAUAUUUCUGCCAAACCCAAUUUUUCUUGCGUUAUCUUCUGUACUUAUGUGACAGAUUAUUUACAGGAUUCCAGGGCCAUGUGAACAUGUCUUACUUUGUUUUUGUAAAAAGUCUUUCCAAUUUAUUAUACGAAAUUAUUUAGGGCCAUGUGAAGUAAUUUAGAGAUCUUCUAUUCCUCCGUUCUGCAGAAAUUUCUGCAAUUUUCUUGAAAGCUGCUUGUGCAUUCAUCCCGUCUUGAGUGCGAAUCAUCGUGUAAUAUACUCUAGGGUCAUGUGUUAAGUAUCCAUAGCUAUUUUGAAGCUUAAAAAAAGCUCAAAUGUUGGAUCCAAGUUUUCUUGUAUACUCUGUAUUCCUCACCUGUUGUAACUUCGCCGUGGGCCAUGUUGACAAAUCUACUAUAUUUGUCCAUGUUACAAAAAUUGUCUUGGAGAUCUAUUGUUAUAUACAAAAGCUCUACCUGUAUAGGGCCAUGUGCAGAUCUUACAGAUUCAUUGAAAAAUGUAGCGGUCGUGAAACGUAAUCACAAUGAUGGUUUCAACGACUCCACGAUUAUUUUGACAUGAAAUAGUCUCUGAUCCUUGUCGAAAUGUGUCGUAUGGACAUGAAGUAUUGUUUGUGAUUUGUUCUCCCAUAAUAUCCAUUUCGCAAAGAUCGAUAAUUGCCUUUUGUGUUAGGGCCAUUGUGUCAAUUUUGUUUAUUGUAAAUCAGGUGUAAUGACACCUGUAGAGUCGGAUACACUUUGUAAUCGCUCUGUAAAGUGUAUAGCCUGAAUUUACAGGAUGAAACAAUGUGCAUUAAUUAAUUUAACAACCACAACACCAGUGGAGGAUUUGAUCGAUGGUACAUUUGAAUUCUGAUAAGUCCGAUCACAGCUGGUCGGCAAUGUGAAUGUUGUUUCCCUUUGAACCGCGUUGCGCGUCAGUGGAUGCGCGGUGCUUUGCGCAAACUGGAAUAUCAUCUUCGCGACCAGUAGGCCAAAUUAUCUAUUUAGAAUAAACUAAGCUUUCAUUCUCAACGGUUGAAUCCAUUACAGUGGUCAGGUAAGGGCCACUAAUCGGAUUAUUUUCACUGUCUGUAUGUAACAUACUUUGCAUCCAAUUUGGCUUAGAGAUCUAAGUAGCGUAGACCUAAACUAAGUUUCCCUUUUUUUCUCUAUGGUUGUAUCUUUAUAGUGGUCAGGUAAGGACUACUAAUAUACGUUUCCUUCUCUUUAUACCACUGCACCGAUCUCAAAUUUGAUCAGGAAUCCACUGUACAUUGUAGUUACAAAACCUAGCUUCGCUAGGAAGACUUCUUUUAUUUCCAGCAACUUGCAAUUAGAUUGGGAGGACCGGCAAGCCAGAGUGCUCAUGUCGGGAGCUGAUGACACGGAGGAACCGGAAGCAGGGAGGAGGAACACCGGAUGACUGAAGACCCUGCUUGCCGGGCAUCCCAUUACUGAUUUCCCAGAGAUGACGGUCUGUAAGAUGAGAUGUCAUUCUGGACGAAGAUACAAUCACUUCUGAAUCCCAAGGAACCGGAAGCAGGGAGGAGGACCGACGGAAGGACUGAUGACCCUGCUUGCAGAGCAAGUCUUCACCAAUUCUUGAGAUUCCUCUUGUUUCGUGUAAGCAGCAGAGACGAUGACAAUAUACAUAACGGAGUGCAGUUGUUCACCAAGGCAGGAACACGAAUUUUAGCAACACUCGACUGAGUUUUACAAUAGCUAGCUCCUGAAAGUUCCCAUAAGUUUCUCUUAAAAAGUCGUCACAUUUUAUUAAUCCGAGGGAUGUAUAAAGACACCAUCCCAUUCAAAAUCCUUCCAAAAACCUGCUUUAUAAAUUUAAAAAGCUGUAUAUGUCAACUUAUUUAAUCAAUAGGUUUAAGUCCUACCUAAGUGGUCGUAGUCAGUCUGUGAAUAUCGAGGGCAACAUGUCAAAGGUACUGCCACUAAAAACGUUGGUGUUCCGCAGGCUAGGGGUCGAUCUUAUGUCCACUUUUAUUCAUUAUUUAUUCUAGUGAUCUACCAUCUUGUAUCCCCUGAACAACGUAUUAGUCAUCGGUGAUAUUUCUGUCAAUAUCACACUAAUUCAAAAAUGUGCUGAUCUACGGAGUUACAAACUUGGUUGCCAUGCACGGAAAUUUGGAGCCGGAUCGGGAAUUUCCCCGUGUUUUUUUCCCAAAUGAGUUUUGGCGAGGUUUUUGCCCAUCCCGCAGUGGCGUAGCCACAG